rnacentral:lncRNA from 1 species
AGGCAUGAGCCGUGGUGUCUGGCCCUAAUGUGAGUGAUCUUUAACACUGAGCACUUGAAAAAGAAAACCCCGAAGAAACCUAAUUCUUUGAUGUCUGGACGACAAGGAAGAAGAUAGAAAUGGCAACAGAUAAUAAACAGCGUAAAUGUUUAUCAGAAAGGGGCUGGUGGUCGGGACAAGUAGAAGGAUCGCUUGAGUCCAGGAGUGCAUCUCUACAAAAAAGUUAAAGGAUUUUUUAACAUUGGCCAGGCGUGGUGGCACACAUCUGUGAUCCCAGCUACUUGGGAGGCUGAGGCAGGAGGAUUGCUUGAAGCCCAGGAGGUUGAGGCUGCAGUGAGCUGUGAUCGAGCCACUGCACUCCAGCCUGGGUGACACAGCAAAAUCCGGUCUACAAAAAAAAAAUAAUAAUAUUUUACAUAACUAACCACUUCUAAAGAUUAAAAAAAACCCCUAUGAUUAAAAACCUCAGGUCCCUCAGGCAAUCAUACCAGAUAUCGAAACAAAGCAAUAACAUAAGGACUGCAGUAUUUAUUUUUAUAUUAUUUAUUUAUUCUUUGUUAGUUUGUUUUUGGGGUGUGGGUUUUGUUUUUUGAUUUUUUUAUUUUGUUCUACUCAGUUUUAUUCUUAUUGCUCAGGCUUGAGUGCAACGGCCUCUUCUCAGCUGACGCAACCUCCGCCUCUUGGGUUCGGGUGAUGAUGGUUCCACCUCAGCAGCCCUCCGCCUCUUGGGUUUGGGUGAUGAUGGUUCCACCUCAGCGGCCCUCCGCCUCUUGGGUUCGGGAGGUGGUUCCAUCUCAGCCACCCUCCACCUCUUGGGUUUGGGUGGUUUUUCUGCCUCAGCCUCCUGAGUAGCUAAGGGAGGUGUCUUGAGAUUAUCAUCUGCUGAGGGUGGAAGGGGAGUGAGCAGCCACUCGGGAGGUGUCUUGAGAUUAUCAUCCGCUGAGGGUGGAAGGGGAGUGAGCAGACACUCGGCAGGUGUCUUGAGGCUCAGGGAGUUAUGAGUUAUAGAAUGUUGAUCAGUUAUAGAAUGUUGUUGAGUUGGAGGAGGUGGCUGGUGGCCCAUCCUGUUUUUUAAAGUUUCAGCUGUGAGGUAGGGCCGGUAGGGCAAUCCUGAAGAGUGACGAUGCUCCGCUGCUGCCAUUCUGACCUGUAGGGCCAAAGGAGGGAAUGUUUUCACACAUAUUCAUUUGAUGGACAAAAUUACCGCCACCAACACAGUCUGCACCUUCUGUUGCUGGUGAUAGAUUUUUGCACCUUUCCAUCCUCCAGGUUUCAAAAUAGCAGUAUCAGUGUCAUAAUAUCACCCUUCCACUGAGUACUGCCGACAGCUGGGGGGUAAAGAAAAGUCAUUGGGACACACUGUUGUCUCCACAUGCCACUGUGUCUGUCUGCAAAUGUAGGCAGGCUGGGGUCCUGCCCCAGGGAAGACAGAGUCAUAACAGAGUAAUAAAGAAGCAUGUUUGAGACACAGGAGUGUCUAUGUCUAUCCUCAUUCCUCCCUCACAGCCAUCACCAGAGCAUGUUUCUUGCACCAGGUCAACAGACAGUAAGAGAGGUAUGAAAAGCCCAUUGUCCACACAUGUUGCAGGUUCUUAUUGGANAAUGUUUCCAGGUCCU